rnacentral:miRNA from 1 species
UAUGACACUGACCCCUCAAUGCGG